rnacentral:rRNA from 1 species
GAUGAACGCUGGCGGCGUGCCUAAUACAUGCAAGUCGAGCGAACGGACGAGAAGCUUGCUUCUCUGAUGUUAGCGGCGGACGGGUGAGUAACACGUGUAUAACCUACCUAUAAGACUGGGAUAACUUCGGGAAACCGGAGCUAAUACCGGAUAAUAUUUUGAACCGCAUGGUUCAAAAGUGAAAGACGGUCUUGCUGUCACUUAUAGAUGGAUCCGCGCUGCAUUAGCUAGUUGGUAAGGUAACGGCUUACCAAGGCAACGAUGCAUAGCCGACCUGAGAGGGUGAUCGGCCACACGGGAACGGAGACACGGUCCAGACUCCUACGGGAGGCAGCAGUAGGGAAUCUUCCGCAAUGGGCGAAAGCCUGACGGAGCAACGCCGCGUGAGUGAUGAAGGUCUUCGGAUCGUAAAACUCUGUUAUUAGGGAAGAACAGAUGUGUAAGUAACUGUGCACAUCGUGACGGUACCUAAUCAGAAAGCCACGGCUAACUACGUG